rnacentral:rRNA from 1 species
UACGAAGGGGGCUAGCGUUGUUCGGAAUUACUGGGCGUAAAGGGCGCGUAGGCGGCCUGGUCAGUCGGGUGCGAAAGCCCGGGGCUCAACCCCGGAACGGCACCCGAGACGGUCAGGCUGGAGACCGGGAGAGGAGGGUGGAAUAGCCAGUGUAGAGGUGAAAUUCGUAGAUAUUGGCUGGAACACCGGUGGCGAAAGCGGCUCUCUGGCCCGGUUCUGACGCUGAGGCGCGAAAGCGUGGGGAGCAAACAGG